UGUGUACAAAGUUGGUUGUGGGGUGAAGAGAUGAAAGGAAAUUCAACAUUGGAAUCGGUGGGCUAUGCAACUAUAUAUGAUGAUGAUGAGAUCGAGUCGGAUCAGUCAUGUGCCACUUUUGUGAGUUCAAGUUGAAGGAGAUGAUGGAAGUUGUGUGGUUUGUAUGGGUUUGAAGAAACAAUGGAUUUGCUUUUUAUGUUGUAAUGGAUAUUUUUAUUUUUAUUUUUAUUU